GCGCCUGUAGCUCAAUCGGAUAGAGCAACGGAUUUCUAAUCCGUAGGUUGCGUGUUCGAUUCACGCCAGGCGC
rnacentral:tRNA from 1 species